rnacentral:rRNA from 1 species
GUAAGUGUUUAUGAGCGUACGGUGGAUGCCUUGGCACCAGGAGCCGAUGAAGGACGUGGGAGGCUGCGAUAUGCCUCGGGGAGCUGUCAACCGAGCUGUGAUCCGAGGAUUUCCGAAUGGGGAAACCCAGCACGAGUGAUGUCGUGUUACCCGCAUCUGAAUAUAUAGGGUGUGUGGAGGGAACGUGGGGAAGUGAAACAUCUCAGUACCCACAGGAAGAGAAAACAACAUGUGAUUCCGUGAGUAGUGGCGAGCGAAAGCGGAUGAGGCUAAACCAUGGGUGUGUGAUAGCUGGCAGGCGUUGCAUCCGUGGGGUUGUGGGGCGAGUACAUGUGAUACCUGGCAGGGGUUGUGUAUUCGGGGUUGUGGGGUUCGUUGUGUCGGCGCUCUUUUCUUCCCGUCACUGUCAUGACGGGCGAGAGUAAAAAACCGGUUGGUUAGUCGAAGUGGUCUGGAACUCGGCGCUGCCAUGCCGGCCGACAGUGAGAAAUCGUCGUGUUAGUCGAAGUGGUCUGGAACGGCCUGUCGUAGAGGGUGAGAAUCCCGUAGACGAAAACACGAUGACUGUCGAUUCGAAUACCCGAGUAGCACCGGGCCCGUUGCCGGCUCUCGUGAGAAGUACCCGAGUAGCACCGGGCCCGUGAAAUCCGGUGUGAAUCUGUCGGGACCACCCGAUAAGCCUGAAUACUCCCUGGUGACCGAUAGCGGACUAGUACCGUGAGGGAAAGGUGAAAAGUACCCCGGGAGGGGAGUGAAAUAGUACCUGAAACCGUGCGCUUACAAUCCGUCAGAGCCGAUGCACGAUUCAGUUCGUGGUGGGUGAUGGCGUGCCUUUUGAAGAAUGAGCCUGCGAGUUAGUGGCAUGUCGCGAGGUUAACCCGUGUGGGGUAGUCGUAGCGAAAGCGAGUCCGAAUAGGGCGCAUGAGUGGCAUGUUCUAGACCCGAAGCGGAGUGAUCUACCCAUGGCCAGGGUGAAGCGAUGGUAAGACGUCGUGGAGGCCCGAACCCACUUAGGUUGAAAACUGAGGGGAUGAGUUGUGGGUAGGGGUGAAAGGCCAAUCAAACUCCGUGAUAGCUGGUUCUCCCCGAAAUGCAUUUAGGUGCAGCGUCGCGUGUUUCUCACCGGAGGUAGAGCUACUGGAUGGUCUAGGGGGCCCACAAGCUUACCGAAAUCAGCCAAACUCCGAAUGCCGGUGAGUGAGAGCGCGGCAGUGAGACUGCGGGGGAUAAGCUUCGUAGUCGAGAGGGAAACAGCCCAGAUCGCCGGCUAAGGCCCCUAAGCGUGUACUAAGUGGAAAAGGAUGUGGGAUCGCUGAGACAACCAGGAGGUUGGCUUAGAAGCAGCCACCCUUGAAAGAGUGCGUAAUAGCUCACUGGUCAAGUGGUUCUGCGCCGACAAUGUAGCGGGGCUCAAGUACACCGCCGAAGCCGCGGCACUCACACAACACCCAUUCGUUCCUGCGGGAACGUGUGCAGUGGUGUGGGUGGGUAGGGGAGCGUCGUGCAGCCGUGGAAGCGCCGGAGUGAUCCAGGUGUGGAGGCUGUGCGAGUGAGAAUGCAGGCAUGAGUAGCGAAAGACGAGUGAGAAACUCGUCCGCCGGAUGACCAAGGGUUCCUGGGCCAGGUUAAUCCGCCCAGGGUGAGUCGGGACCUAAGGCGAGGCCGACAGGCGUAGUCGAUGGACAACGGGUUGAUAUUCCCGUACCCGUGUAUCCGCGCCCAAUGGCGAAUCAGUUGUGCUAACCGUCCAAAAGUUUCCGCUGUUCCUUCGGGAACUGUGGGGAUGGCUGCACGGGACCCUGAUUGUAGUAGUCAAGCGAUGGGGUGACGCAGGAAGGUAGCUGGGCCAGGUGAUGGAGUACCUGGUGUAAGCCGGUAGGGCGAAUGGUAGGCAAAUCCGCCAUUCACACAGCCUGAGAGGUGAUGCGUACCCGUUGAGGGGAAUUCAGUGAUCCUAUGCUGCCGAGAAAAGCCUCUAGUGAGUUGGUACACGGCCCGUACCCCAAACCGACACAGGUGGUCAGGUAGAGAAUACCGAGGCGAUCGAGAGAACUGUGGUUAAGGAACUCGGCAAAAUGCCCCCGUAACUUCGGGAGAAGGGGGACCACGCCCGGUGACGGCCCUUGCGGUCCGAGCUGGGGGUGGUCGCAGAGACCAGAGAGAAGCGACUGUUUACUAAAAACACAGGUCCGUGCGAAGUCGUAAGACGAUGUAUACGGACUGACGCCUGCCCGGUGCUGGAAGGUUAAGAGGACCGGUUAGCGGGGUUUACUCCGCGAAGCUGAGAAUUUAAGCCCCAGUAAACGGCGGUGGUAACUAUAACCAUCCUAAGGUAGCGAAAUUCCUUGUCGGGUAAGUUCCGACCUGCACGAAUGGCGUAACGACUUCUCUGCUGUCUCGACCACAGACUCGGCGAAAUUGCAUUACGAGUAAAGAUGCUCGUUACGCGCGGCAGGACGAAAAGACCCCGGGACCUUCACUAUAGCUUGGUAUUGGUGUUCGGUUCGGUUUGUGUAGGAUAGGUGGGAGACUGUGAAGCUCAUACGCCAGUAUGGGUGGAGUCGUUGUUGAAAUACCACUCUGAUCGUAUUGGACCUCUAACCUCGGACCAUGAUCUGGUUCAGGGACAGUGCCUGGUGGGUAGUUUAACUGGGGCGGUUGCCUCCCAAAAUGUAACGGAGGCGCCCAAAGGUUCCCUCAGCCUGGUUGGCAAUCAGGUGUCGAGUGCAAGUGCACAAGGGAGCUUGACUGUGAGACUGACAGGUCGAGCAGGGACGAAAGUCGGGACUAGUGAUCCGGCACCGGCAUGUGGAAGCGGUGUCGCUCAACGGAUAAAAGGUACCCCGGGGAUAACAGGCUGAUCUUCCCCAAGAGUCCAUAUCGACGGGAUGGUUUGGCACCUCGAUGUCGGCUCGUCGCAUCCUGGGGCUGGAGUAGGUCCCAAGGGUUGGGCUGUUCGCCCAUUAAAGCGGCACGCGAGCUGGGUUUAGAACGUCGUGAGACAGUUCGGUCUCUAUCCGCCGCGCGCGUUAGAAACUUGAGGAAGGCUGUCCCUAGUACGAGAGGACCGGGACGGACGAACCUCUGGUGUGCCAGUUGUCCCGCCAGGGGCAUGGCUGGUUGGCUACGUUCGGAAGGGAUAACCGCUGAAAGCAUCUAAGCGGGAAGCCUGUUCCAAGAUGAGGUUUCUCACCCCCUCGAGGGGGUAAGGCCCCCGGCAGACCACCGGGUUGAUAGGCCGGAACUGGAAGCCCAGCAAUGGGUGGAGGUGACCGGUACUAAUAGGCCGAGGACUUACCACG